UGCUCCGGAACGGUGAUUGGUCUGUUUAGGCACGGAAGGCGGGAACAACAGUCUUGGCUCUGAUUGGAGGGAUCGUCAAACAUUGAAGUUUUUUUUUAGUUCCCUGACUUGGAUGGCUCAGAAACUAGCUUUACUACUACUACGUAGCCCCGACUGUCCUGGAACUCGGUGAUUAGACCAGGCUGGUCUCGAACUCACUGCCUGUGCCUCCCGAGUGCAGGGAUUUAAGGUGUGAAAACAGACUCCGCCGUUGAGUGCCACGUGGCAAAUCUGGUCCUCCUGACUCCAAAAGCAAGGACCGAGUGGAAAAAGGAAAAGGCCGGGAAAGACGAAUACAAAGCCCUGUGGUGUGGCUCACGCCCUGAAUCCCAGCGCUCUGGAGGCAGAGGCAGGCAGACCUCUGUGAGUUCAAGGCCAGCCUGUUCUACAGAGCGAGAUCCAGGACAGCCAGUGCUACAUAGAGAAACCCUGUCUCAAAACAAAAACAACAACAACAACAAAAAAAAAAAAACCCUAGCUUUCGAUAGGUUGACACCCCAAAGUUGUUCAGGGUGACAGGAGACACGAAGAGGAGUCGAGAAUGCGGCAUAGAGGGAAGACAGGAUAGAGGUGGAAUGAAUGAAUUAGUGUUGGGGCUGGAGAUGUAGGCCAGCUGGUAGGGUGCUUGCCUAACAGGGCUCAGUGGAUAAAGUGCCUGCUACCCAAGUACCUGGGUUUAAGUCCCCAGCACCCAUGGCAAUGCCAGGCAAUGCACCUGUGACCUCAGCACUGGGGGAACAUAGACCCAAGAAUCCAUGGAGCUGGCUGGCCAUCCAGUCUAGCCCAGACAGCGUGCUCCAAGUUCAUUGAGCUAUAAGGGAAAUAGAUGUUUUAUAUUAAACAUCCCAUAAUUAACAACAAAGAAGUAGAGAAAUAUUUACAUUGUUUUUUUCCGUUCUAAGAUGCAUCCUCCCUCCCACCCGCCCACUUCCUGAGCAGCAAGGCAAAAAACGGCAAAUGUAAACCCUAACCUUCAGUUCCCAAGGAAAUGGAGCAAAAGCUAUUACAGAAAAGAAAGCUGAACCUUUAAUGUAGCAGCCUUAUUUGCCCAACAGAGCUGGAGCUAAGAGCUCAUGGGGAACUCCACCAUCAAAGGCUAGAUAAAUAAAAGUGACUUUAAUUUAUU